AGAAUGAUGUGAAAAUGUCCCAAAUUGUCUGGUGCCCAAGGAAGAAAAAAAGUAAAGAAGAAGAAGAAAAAAACAUCAUAGAAACAGAGAUGAAUGCGGCGCCUUCAAGUAUCUGGAAAUUGUUCUCCAGGAUGGACCAGGCUGGAGCAGCUGCACAGUUCUCUUCAAGUCAAACGAGAAAGCAGUGAGUUCCAGGUGUGACCCAACAAUACAUCCACAGGAAGAGGUCGUAGAGUUUAUCCAGCUCAUUCUCGGCGCCCUUCGGUGUGAUGUGAACUGGGAUCAUCACCAGAUCUUCCAGAACUGUCAAGAGAAUCAGACAGGAAUCAGGCCUGAAAGACGAGCUGGGUGGCCUGAAGACUGAUGAAGAUGAGGAUGGAACAGAAAUCUGCUCCUGGAAAGAGAAAAGCUCAACCUGGAGAUCCAGAUCCUCCAGAUGAAAGUCGCCAGGAUGACCAACGGAGAUGCACUAUAACCUGAAGAGGCCAGAGCUCAGCCACACUUCACACCUGCUCACCAAUCUGCUAAGGCUCGAAGUUGAAAAACUAACUAGAUUAAUCUGAAACAGCCAACAUGACCGUAAGCUGCAAUAAUACUGGUUAGCAGUUUUACAAGGCUGGUCUCUGCCUGACGUCUGGAAAAACCGAUCCAGAUGAACCAGAACCAGUUUCCUACCAUAAUCUGGGCUUGAUUUGACAACACUGCAAAAACACAAAAUCUUAUAACUGUGGAUCGUUCUCAUACGUAGAUGCAUUAGAACGUUUUUUUUUUUUUUUGAGUCACAUUUUGGUUUUACAUAAAUUUAUUGUUUUUUUGUGUGAGAAACAGAAAAUGUACAAACCUAAAAAUGUUGCCAUAAUCACCCAAAAAAUAAACACAUAUAACAACAUAUAAUUACAAAAAAGAUUUUAUUGACAUCUCCCACUUCACAAUACAACAAAAACAUAGUUCAGGUCUUUUUUAUUAAACAUUUUCCACUGAAGAAAUGUUUUUAUUUUUGCCAAAAAAUAAAGACAUUUCCUAAACGGUGAGAGUUAAUUUAA